CUACAUCUCUUUCUCAUUCUACCUCUCUCUCUUAAUUCCCCUCUCUCUCCCAUUCUACAUCUCUCUCUUCAACUCUCGAGACAAACAGAUAAACCCGAAACCUUCCAUCCAAAGAAAAAGACAAAAUCUUCUCCAAAUCGACUCAAAAUCACGAACUCCCGACGAAGAUAAAGAAAACCCUUAAUAUCAUAAACAGAGAAAAAUGAUCUGCGUUUAGCAAAGACGAGCGAGAAAUUUUCGCACACUACAACCAUGGUUGCGGUAUAAGAAAGAAAAUUCGAUAUUUUCACCAAGCAGCCAUGAUUACUAACUUUAUCGACCCCCGUCACAGUCUCGAAGCCAGGCAGGAGCUCAGGCGAGAUGACUGGAGAGAAAACCCGGCUUCAUUUGAAAUCGGAGAAGGGAUGAGGAGUGAGGGAAAGAGAUGGAGAUACGUGGAAAGAGAAAGAGAGAUUGAACGUAAGACAUUAUAGAGGGGGGGGGGGGUGAUGAAUGAGAGAGGGAGGGAGAGAGAGAGAGAGAGAGAGAGAGAGAGAGAGAGAGAGAAUGAUAAAUGUUGAACAUGUAGGCCUAUGUGGAAUUAUGGUAUAACAUUAUGUACCAUAAUAGUUAUGUGUAUGAUCCCUAAAAUUAUAAUCACCACCAGUUUUAAGAUGAUGUUUCAAUUUUUCAAGUUUCAAGUUUAUUUCUUCCACAUUUUACAAAAAAUAUAGACAGACAUAUAAAUUAGAAAUUAUAUAUAGGCCUAUAUAUACAUGUAGUAUGAUCACGUCUCAAUGAUACUCAAUUUAUAUGAUAGAUUAAGCAGAACCUAUUGAAAAGCAGUGCUAGUAUAUUACAGGUUACCGCUUUAUAGUCAUUGUAGAUGAAAAACCAUAGUAAUAGGCCUAUAUAGAAAAAGACGUAAUUUAGAGGGGGGCAUUUAAAACACGAUGGAAUAAGGAAAUGUGUAUACAAAUGCAUUAUCACCAAUACCUAGAGUUCGAAUACUUCCUUCCCUCACAUGAACAAAUAAUUUACACGACAGAUCAAUAUUGAUAUUAUAAAACUUCUCCCUUCGCUUUUCCCUCUACCCUAAUAUCUUCUCCAUCCUACAUGUCUCCUUUUUAAGGCUUACAACUGAAAACAUAAUGUGAAAUAUAGCCGAGUCUACAGCUGUACACAAUAUCCUGAACUCAAUUUCCUGUUAAUAUUGCAAAACCCCCCUCAACUUGUUCUCUCACCUUUUUCAAAAAAGCGUAUCCUUAAAACCAUUUCAUUUUCCCAUAUAACCUUAUAGCCCAUAGCUUCUCCAUAAUAAUAUUACUUCAGUGAAAAACCUACUCUAUAUACCUCAGCUUAUAUUUAUGUCUUCUUUAUUAUUUUCGUCAUCUAAAUUGGUAAAGGCCUCUUAGUCGCAGUUUAUUCUCAUAUUAAGCCCACCUUCAUAAUUAUUAUGCUCAGAAUACUAUGCCCCUUCAUAAUAGCAGUCGCUGCUCCAUAGGUUUCUAUACAACACAUUUACUACAACAUGCCUCAGCAUUUCUCUAUACAGCAUCUUUUCUUCAUAAUAUAUUUCUCUCUUUUUCGCCAAACUGAACGUAUUUUUUCCAAACAGAGGCGUAGUGCAAGUCUACCCAUUGUGGGGCACUAUGGGGAAGGGGGAGGGAGCCUUUUUGGGGGAAGGUUUUUGUAUAGGAGAGGGGUCGAAGGUGGUUUGGGGCUUCUUUUUUUCCUCGUCUGUACCCCUUCUCCCUUUCAUUCCCUCUCUUUUCUGGCUCUUUCUUUGAUUAUUAUAUUUUUUCUCAGUUGGGAAGGGGCACAUGCCCCCCUGCCGCCCCCUUUCGCUACGCCACAGGUUUCCAAAGCCCAUCUUCUCUGUGUGUUUUGAACCGAGCCGAAACACCUGCCCUGAUUAUUAGCGCGAUCUAGCCCCCUCAACCAAACGUAACGAAUUUCCGGUUUCAUGAUUAAAGUCACCAAGCCCCGAAAAUCUGUGAAAGAGAUGGGGAGAAAGAGGGAGAGAAAGGGAGAGGGAGAGAUGGAGAGAGGAAGAGAGAGAGAGAGAGAGAGAGAGAGAGAGAGGAUAGAGAGAGAGAGAGAAAUAGUGACUGAGAUUUGAAAGAAUGCAGAAAUGGAAAAAAAAUCGUAAGAAGAAAAAAGAAAUUAUGAUUGUACAGGAAAGGGAGUAAAAUGGGGAAGAGGCGUUCAAAAGAUUGAUAUAAAAUUAAUAAGAAAAUAAAGAUAGAUACACAAAUAAAUAGAGAGAAGGAGAGAGAACGAAAGCACAAAAGAAAGAAAUGAUAUAGAGAUCAAAAGAUAUGGGAAUGGGGAUAAAUAUAUAUAUAGAGAAAGAACAUAAUUUGUUUAGAAAUGGGAUAAGAGAGGUGUUAUCCAAAAGAUAAUUGGCUGUAGGGAUGGAAAAGGUGUUAGAGAGAGAGAGAGAGAGAGAGAUGUUGACCUUUUAUAGCCCCCUAUUAUUUCCUUUAUUUUCAACAUCUCUCUCUCUCUCUCUCUCUCUCUGUCUCACCCACACUCACACCCACACACACCAUUUACAGUUUGUGAGUUUAUUGGUCUGGUUUCGUUAAGAAAAAAAAGGGGGGAUGGUUGUCAGGUGUUGACCUUUCAUUCGCCCCUACCCUUAGCCCUUUACUUAUUUUCUACAUCUCUCUCUCUCUCUCUCUCUCUCUCUACCUCUUUCUCUGUUUUGUUCUCUCUCCGUCCCUGUGUGACAUGUGGUCUUAUGAGACAUGUGGUGGCUAUCGAUCGCUGACAAAACCUAUCGAUUGGAAAUAGCUGCGUGAAGGCUGGCGAUCGAUAGCGCCACAGUGAGCCCCGUAAAAAUACCGCCACAUGUUCGUCGAAGAAAACAAAGCGCAACAAAAGGGGGAAUUCAAUUCGAAUAGCGGCGAACAGACUUCAUGAAUAUUUGAUGUCGGGAUUAAAGGCAAAUCCGCUUGUUAUCCUCCGAAGAACUACAAAGUAAUUUUUGAGGGAUGAAGGGGAAAGCUGUUUAUUAGGGGGUCUAACUGUAAAAAAGUUUGGGAGAUUAGGCGCCCCUAAGCGGAUUGGUAACAAGCAAAAGUGAACGCAACGCAAUCAACAUUCCGUUACCUAACUGAAAAUAUGGAAGGAUAGUUGACAGGGUAUUACAAUUAGAGAAGAGAUUACCCACCAGCUAACACAGCAAGUUGACAGAGGCGCAAUUUAUUUCUGCCAAUUCCAUCUACAACAAUCAACUUCUGACGCUUGUCAUGUAUUUUUGUAAUUAUUACCUGCCGUCUC